UACAGGGGGUGCAAACGUUGCUCGGAAUUAUUGGGCGUAAAGCGCACGUAGGCGGUUUGUUAUGUCGGAUGUGAAAGCCCUUGGCUCAACUGAGGAAGUGCAUCCGAAACUGGCAAGCUAGAGUAUGUAAGAGGGUCGCGGAAUUCCCGGUGUAGAGGUGAAAUGCGCAGAUAUCAGGAAGAACACCCGUGGCGAAGGCGGCUCUCUGGGACGGUACUGACGCUGAGACGCGAAAGCGUGGGGAGCGAACAGG
rnacentral:rRNA from 1 species